ACGAACGCUGGCGGCAUGCCUAACACAUGCAAGUCGAACGAAGCCUUCGGGCUUAGUGGCGCACGGGUGCGUAACACGUGGGAAUCUGCCCUUAGGUACGGAAUAACAGUUAGAAAUGACUGCUAAUACCGUAUGAUGACUCCGGUCCAAAGAUUUAUCGCCUAAGGAUGAGCCCGCGUCGGAUUAGCUAGUUGGUGAGGUAAAGGCUCACCAAGGCGACGAUCCGUAGCUGGUCUGAGAGGAUGAUCAGCCACACUGGGACUGAGACACGGCCCAGACUCCUACGGGAGGCAGCAGUGGGGAAUAUUGGACAAUGGGCGAAAGCCUGAUCCAGCAAUGCCGCGUGAGUGAAGAAGGCCUUAGGGUUGUAAAGCUCUUUUACCCGGGAUGAUAAUGACAGUACCGGGAGAAUAAGCUCCGGCUAACUCCGU
rnacentral:rRNA from 1 species